CCUACGGGGGGCAGCAGUGAGGAAUAUUGGUCAAUGGGCUUACGCCUGAACCAGCCAAGUCGCGUGAGGGAAGACUGCCCUAUAGGUUGUAAACCUCUUUUGUCAGGGAGCAACGCCGGCUACGUGUAGCCGGACUGAGAGUACCUGAAGAAAAAGCAUCGGCUAACUCCGUGCCAGCAGCCGCGGUCAUACGGGGGAUGCGAGCGGUCUCCGGAUUUAUUGGGUUAAGAGGGUGCGUAGGCGGAAGGCCAAGUCAGCGGGGAAAGCGCGGGGCUCACCCGCGCGCCGCCGGGGGAACCGGCGUUCGUGAGUGGGCGAGAAGUAGGGGGAAGGCGUGGGGUAGCGGUGAAAUGGAUAGA
rnacentral:rRNA from 1 species